GCAUUCACUUUAAAUAGGGCUCCGUCGAAAUCCGUUGAGACGACACCGUAUGAAUUAUGGUUUGGGAAGAAACCUAAGCUGUCGUUUCUAAAAGUUUGGGGAUGCGAUGCUUAUGUCAAGAAACUUCAACCUGAAAAGCUCGAACCCAAGUCGGAAAAAUGCGUCUUCAUAGGAUACCCAAAAGAAACUAUUGGGUACACCUUCUACCUCAGAUCCGAAGGCAAGAUCUUUGUUGCCAAGAAUGGGUCCUUUCUGGAGAAAGAGUUUCUCUCGAAAGAAGUAAGUGGGAGGAAAGUAGAGCUUGAUGAAGUAUUACCUCUUGAACCGGAAAAUGGCGCAACUCAAGAAAAUGUUCCUGAGGUGCCUGCACCGACUAGAGAGGAAGUUAAU
rnacentral:rRNA from 1 species